rnacentral:rRNA from 1 species
UGGGUAACCUGCCUCAAAGAGGGGAAUAGCCUCCCCGAAAAGGGAGAUUAAUACCGCAUAAUAUGUUUUGGUCACAUGGUCUUAACAUCAAAGGAUUUUUCUUCGGGAAUUCCGCUUUGAGAUGGACCCCGCGGCGCAUUAGCUAGUUGGUGAGGUAACGGCUCACCAAGGCGACGAUGCGUAGCCGACCUGAGAGGGUNAUCGGCCACAUUGGAACUGAGACACGGUCCAGACUCCGUAGGCG